AUGGACAUAAUCCCACUUACCUGAAAUAAGACAUGAAUGUAACUGCUACUAUUUGUGCAGAGGUCCUCCUGGCAAUACUGCAGGUCCAUCUGGGCAGCGUUCAAAGAAACGAGGGCUAAUGGCUGGCAUGUAGGAAUCAGCUCCUCAGAGCAAUCAUGGAGCAUAAGGGAGAAGAAUGCUACCAGCCUGGUACUACUACUUUACCUUCUUGGCUUGGGAUUUGGAGAGACCAUGCAAGCAGUGUGAGUUGGAGCCCCAAACCUGCACAGAAGUUUUUCAGUGUUUGUUUGUUUGUUUGUUUCUGAGACAGAGUCUCACUCUAUCUCCCAGGCUGGAGCGCCAUCUUGGAUCACUGCAACCUCCGCUUCCCGGGUUCAAGCAAUUCUCCUGCCUCAGCUUCCCAAGUAGCUGGGAUUACAGGCAUGCAGCAUCACACCUGGCUAAUUUUUGUAAUUUUUAUAGAGAUGGGAUUUCACCAUGUUGGCCAGGCUGGUCUCAAACUCCUGACCUCAGGUGACUGGCCCACCUCAGCCUCCCAAAGUGCUGGAAUUACAGGCGUGAGCCACCACACCCAGCCGCCAGGAGCUUGUUCUUACUAUGCGUUCUUAGGAGAGAACAAUACUAUGAAGAAGGAAUAAUCAAUUCCACACUUUAUAAAGGAGGAAAAUAAGGUUCUGAGAAAUUAAGCUGCCUGGAGUUAUGCCAUAGUUAUGAAUUGGUGAAACCAAUUUGUCUG